GUUAGGUUGGCAGAAUAAAAGUGCAUUGGAUUUAGGAUUCAAAUAUGAUGUUUAUCUUCACUUAACA
rnacentral:tRNA from 1 species